GGCAAGCAGCAGGUCAGUAGAGCAGCAGGGCAGGCUACCCAAGCCCUCCUAGAACGUGGGCUGUACAGCUGGUGGUGGGGGUAUAGGGCAAGAGAAUCAUUCUGACAAAGGCUCCCCCUUCGCAUACACACACCCUACCCCACACCCUCUCCCAUUGCCCACUGGGCUCAUUCCACAAUUCCUCCUUGAUACCUGGGCACUCACAUAGUGUAAUAAAUAUGACAUUUAAAUGAAUGGAAUGGCAAAAAUGCUAGGAUAGGAAAGUGAUACAUGUAACGCCAUUGGAGUUCUAGCCCCACUGCUAGCUUUCUUAACUCUGUUUUCUACCAAACAUGUGUCAUUGCUGUUUUCCUUUGUUAGCUUCUCUCUUCCUAAAGGCCUCUCACUAUUUCACCCUCAUAGAUCCCUAACUUCACUGCCCCAUUUCUUCCUGUAUCAGUCUCUCUCUUUGUUCUCCGCCUUAACCAGAUUUGGACUGCCCUUCCCUGGCCCAGCUCUGCAAGCCACCCACAGUUCUUUCUCAUGACGAGGACGUCCCCACACUCAUCCUCAGAUGGCAGGAAGAUCUCUGACGCUGAGCACAGUGCCAAACCUAUAUAGAAACUCAUUUGGGAUAUGGAGGAGAAUAUGCCACCAGUUCUCCAAAGUGGAGGGUUCUUCCCAGCAGGAAACCUCUCAACUCUGGCUGGCUGACCUGCUGCCCUAGCCUCCCCCCUCCUCUCGCAGCUGUUGGGCCAAAAGACACAAAGAACGAGCCCAGUCCUCCUCGUCCCCACUCCUUGUGACCAGGGGAUAUGGACCUAAUGAAUCAUCAUUUUCAGUAUGGCUACCCUGCCUUUUUCCUCCACCCUUUCCCCCCAUUCUCCCUCAGACCUGGCUAAUUAAAAGGAAGGGAAACAGAAUGCAUAAUGUGGGUAACUAUACUGUAAUAACAGUUAACACAAAGUGUUUCCAUUUGCCAAGCACUGUUCUAAGUACUUUUUAUGUAAUCACUCUUUUAAUCACAACACAGUAUGAGGCGAGCACUAUGGAAAACUGAGGCACAGAGACAUUAAGUGACUUGUCCAGGAUCACAGAGCUAGUAGGAGACAGGGCUGGGAUCUGAACCCAGCUUCAGUCCUCCUAACUAGUAUCCUACUCUCCCUUUGACCAGUACAGCCUUUCGAGGGGUAGACAUCAUUUCCCCAGAGCCCACUGGGAAGGUCUGAGGAAUGUGGGGUAAGAAGGUUAUGGAACACACCUGUGACCUCAUGCACACACACAGUCAGGGCUCAAAUAUCCUUCCAGACCCAGGAGCAAAUGUGAAUCGCAUGUCCAUUAACUAAGAGGGUUAGGGACCCAUGGGGGAUAGGAAUGAGAGUAGGGAAACAAGGUGGGGUAGGGGAAGGGGGCACUAAGGAACUGGCUGGACUUCUCUGUCCCUUGAACUGAGAUGAAACAGGCAGAUAGGAGACAACCCUUAGCUAUGUCCUGGGUUCUUCAUAAGAAGGAGGUUGAGGAGGUGUCAUCCCCUAAUAGGCACCCUAUCUCUGGUCCCAACCUCAGCCCCUUACCAAAGGUCACUCUGCUUCUGUC
rnacentral:lncRNA from 1 species